rnacentral:rRNA from 1 species
UACGUAGGUGGCGAGCGUUUAUCCGGAAUGAUUGGGCGUAAAGGGUGCGUAGGCGGCCUGCUAAGUCUGGAGUGAAAGGUACCGGCUCAACCGGUACAGGCUCUGGAAACUGGCGGGCUAGAGAGCAGGAGAGGGCGGUGGAACUCCAUGUGUAGCGGUAAAAUGCGUAGAUAUAUGGAAGAACACCAGUGGCGAAGGCGGCCGCCUGGCCUGUUACUGACGCUGAGGCACGAAAGCGUGGGGAGCAAAUAGGGA